rnacentral:rRNA from 13 species
GAUGGUUAGCGGCGGACGGGUGAGUAACACGUAGGCAACCUGCCCUCAAGCUUGGGACAACUACCGGAAACGGUAGCUAAUACCGAAUACUUGUUUUCUUCGCCUGAAGAGAACUGGAAAGACGGAGCAAUCUGUCACUUGGGGAUGGGCCUGCGGCGCAUUAGCUAGUUGGUGAGGUAACGGCUCACCAAGGCGACGAUGCGUAGCCGACCUGAGAGGGUGAUCGGCCACACUGGGACUGAGACACGGCCCAGACUCCUACGGGAGGCAGCAGUAGGGAAUCUUCCGCAAUGGGCGAAAGCCUGACGGAGCAAUGCCGCGUGAGUGAUGAAGGUUUUCGGAUCGUAAAGCUCUGUUGCCAGGGAAGAACGCUUGGGAGAGUAACUGCUCUCAAGGUGACGGUACCUGAGAAGAAAGCCCCGGCUAACUACGUGCCAGCAGCCGCGGUAAUACGUAGGGGGCAAGCGUUGUCCGGAAUUAUUGGGCGUAAAGCGCGCGCAGGCGGUCAUGUAAGUCUGGUGUUUAAUCCCGGGGCUCAACCCCGGAUCGCACUGGAAACUGUGUGACUUGAGUGCAGAAGAGGAGAGUGGAAUUCCACGUGUAGCGGUGAAAUGCGUAGAGAUGUGGAGGAACACCAGUGGCGAAGGCGACUCUCUGGGCUGUAACUGACG